AGAACGAACGCUGGCGGCAGGCUUAACACAUGCAAGUCGAGCGCCCCGCAAGGGGAGCGGCAGACGGGUGAGUAACGCGUGGGAACAUACCCUCCGGUUCGGAAUAGCUCAGGGAAACUUGGAUUAAUACCGGAUACGGCCUAGCGGCGAAAGAUUCAUCGCCGGAGGAUUGGCCCGCGUUCGAUUAGCUAGUUGGUGAGGUAACGGCUCACCAAGGCGACGAUCGAUAGCUGGUCUGAGAGGAUGAUCAGCCACAUUGGGACUGAGACACGGCCCAAACUCCUACGGGAGGCAGCAGUGGGGAAUAUUGGACAAUGGGCGCGAAGCCUGAUCCAGCCAUGCCGCGUGAGUGAUGACGGCCUUAGGGUUGUAAAGCUCUUUCGCUAGGGACGAUAAUGACGGUACCUAGACAAGAAGCCCCGGCUAACUUCGUGCCAGCAGCCG
rnacentral:rRNA from 1 species